rnacentral:lncRNA from 1 species
CAGCAGGCAAGCCCCUGGGUAUCCAGGCUCCCUCCACAGUUAAUGUAAAGUGCAAGGCACCUCCACAGACUAGUUGGUAUGCAGCCCAAUGUACCCAAUUGUAUGUAAAUGGGGGGCACAAUUUGGAUUUGGAAAUAGAUGGCUUUGUUUGGGUGGUGAUACAUGGAGCAUGACUGGCCCAUUCAGGUUGCUAACUCAUUUUGCCCUUGCAGCAGGAAUCAGAGAGGAUCCAUCCAUAGCAGAGUUAGCAGUACAAUGGACACACUGCUUUUGAUCCAAGUUCUGAGAGAAAAUGUUCGAAGCGUCAUGAGAAUACAUUCUUGUUUUAUUCCUGCAGAGAUGUGGCUCAUCAAAAUCCGCUUCAGAAGACAAGGAUCCUGAGAUGGCUGAAGGACUUUGUACUCAGGAUUUUUCAAGACAUGUGGUGUAUCAUGCUCCCUGGCUCCUUGUGGGACCAGCCUGGUUUUCUGCUUUCCUCUGUUGGCAAAGGAUGGUGAAGGCAGAAAACUCCUUCUGCUGUCUUGGGAGAUGUCAACUCUGGACCUCUAAGCGGUUGAUGCCUGCCAAUGCUGACUGGUCAGGUGAGAUUCCUCAGUGCAAGUACGCAGUGGGAGCUUUGGCUCCGCACCAGAAAGGAGGCAGAAGAAUGAAGGAAUGCUCUCCUGGCUCCCCUCCAGGUAGCAGGGAAGGCGACGAGGACUGUCCAUUGUAUGAGACAAACUGUAAUUUCAGUCCAUGCAGAUGGAGGAGAAAUGCAAUUUGUACAGAACAGGCAGGUAAUGUUCUUCCCUCAAACACUAUUUCAUGA